GGAGCAGUGUGAAGAAGAAGAGGCAAGAACAACCCCUGGACCGACCAAAGCCCUGUGCCCUUGCAUCCCAUACCCAGCACCCACAUCCUGCUGCCAUCGUCACCACCAUGCCCAAGAGAAAGGGUGAAGGGGAUGCUAAAGGAGAUAAAUCCAAAGUUAAGGACGAACCACAGAGAAAAUCCACGAAGUUGUCUGCUAAACCUGCUCCUCCAAAGCCAGAGACCAAACUUAAAAAGGCCCCUGCAAAGAAGGGAGAGAAGGUACCCAAAGGAUAAAGGGAAAAGCUGAUGCUGGCAAGGAGGGGAAUAACCCUGCAGAAAAUGGAGAUGCUAAAUCAGACCAGGCACAGAAAACUGAAGGUUUCCUGCAACCUCACUGGGCAUUUUCAGAAUGAUCUGUACAAGCGUUGACUGAAUGAUUGAUUCCAAGUUCCCCCUUCCUAGGAUUUCAGACCUCCUCUUGACAAGUGAUGAAUGGGCCAUCUUAAUCUUGUUUGGAUCAGAAAGGACCAUACAACUGAGCUUCAGACAAGACUAAAAAUAUCAAAAGUAGCACUCUGCAAUUUUAUGUGCAUGUGGCUUGAAGCUCUGACACCAACACAACAGACAUUCAACAGCUCCUGCUUGAGCAGCACCACUGUGCCAGGCUCUGGCAACAUUGAAGAUAAAGGAUGUGUCUCUGUCCUCAAAAGGAUCGAUUCCAGCAGGGAGAACCUACAUGUGAAUAAGUCACUCCAUGCAAGGUGUAGCUGGGAUUACAGGUGUGCACCAGCACUCAGCGACACACGGUGCUGCAGAAACCCUAAGAUUUAACUCCAACUUCUGGAGAAGAGCUCACUGCAAGACAGAUGAGAAAGAGGUUGUUUUAAGAUGAAGAAAAGGAAUGAUACUUGAUUCAUCAUCUUAUACAUGAUUCACAAGAAAAAUAUAAUGUCUUUAUUUUUCAGAGGGUUUUUUAAAAUUAAGAGAUGGGAUCUUGCUACGUUGCCCAGGCUGUAGUGCUGUGGCUA
rnacentral:lncRNA from 1 species